UAUGACACUUCUGCGAGAAGGGAAUUCAGUGUCUCCCUUUCGUCGAGUGUCAUGGC
rnacentral:pre_miRNA from 1 species